rnacentral:rRNA from 1 species
GAUGAACGCUGGCGGCGUGCCUAAUACAUGCAAGUCGAGCGAACGGACGAGAAGCUUGCUUCUCUGAUGUUAGCGGCGGACGGGUGAGUAACACGUGGAUAACCUACCUAUAAGACUGGGAUAACUUCGGGAAACCGGAGCUAAUACCGGAUAAUAUUUUGAACCGCAUGGUUCAAAAGUGAAAGACGGUCUUGCUGUCACUUAUAGAUGGAUCCGCGCUGCAUUAGCUAGUUGGUAAGGUAACGGCUUACCAAGGCAACGAUGCAUAGCCGACCUGAGAGGGUGAUCGGCCACACUGGACCUGAGACACGGUCCAGACUCCUACGGGAGGCAGCAGUAGGGAAUCUUCCGCAAUGGGCGAAAGCCUGACGGAGCAACGCCGCGUGAGUGAUGAAGGUCUUCGGAUCGUAAAACUCUGUUAUUAGGGAAGAACAUAUGUGUAAGUAACUGUGCACAUCUUGACGGGACCUAAUCAGAAAGCCACGGCUAACUACGU